GAUGAACGCUGGCGGCGUGCCUAAUACAUGCAAGUCGAGCGAACGGACGAGAAGCUUGCUUCUCUGAUGUUAGCGGCGGACGGGUGAGUAACACGUGGAUAACCUACCUAUAAGACUGGGAUAACUUCGGGAAACCGGAGCUAAUACCGGAUAAUAUUUUGAACCGCAUGGUUCAAAAGUGAAAGACGGUCUUGCUGUCACUUAUAGAUGGAUCCGCGCUGCAUUAGCUAGUUGGUAAGGUAACGGCUUACCAAGGCAACGAUGCAUAGCCGACCUGAGAGGGGGGAUCGGCCACACGGGAACGGAGACCGGCUCAAGACCCCUAGGGGAGGCAGCAGUGGGGAAUCUGCGGCAAGGGGGGAAAGCCUGACGGAGAACCGCCGCGUGAGUGAGAAAGUUUUUGGGUUGGAAAAACCUUUUUUUGGGGAAAAAACAUUUGUGAAAAAACCUGUCCACACCUUGACGGUCCCUAAAAAAAAAGCCCCGGCUAACUACGUG
rnacentral:rRNA from 1 species